GCGCGAAACCUCUGCAAUGCGGGAAACCGUGACAGGGGGAUCCCAAGUGCUCAUGCAUUGCAUGGGCUGUUCUUUGGUCUAAGUAACCAGAGGAGUAAGGGCUGGGCAAGACCGGUGCCAGCCGCCGCGGUAAUACCGGCAGCUCGAGUGGUAGCCGCGAUUAUUGGGCCUAAAGCGUUCGUAGCCGGAUAAGUAAGUCUUUGGUUAAAUCCUGCGACUUAACCGUGGGAAAUCUAGAGAUACUGCUUGUCUUGAGACCGGGAGAGGUUGGAGGUACUCCUAGGGUAGGGUGAAAUCCUGUAAUCCUAGGGGGACCACCUGUGGCGAAGGCGUCCAACUGGAACGGGUCUGACGGUGAGGGACGAAACCUAGGGGAGCGAGCCGGAUUAGAAACCCGUG
rnacentral:rRNA from 1 species